GAUGAACGCUGGCGGCGUGCUUAACACAUGCAAGUCGAACGGAAAGGCCCAAGCUUGCUUGGGUCCUCGAGUGGCGAACGGGUGAGUAACACGUGGGUGAUCUGCCCUGCACUUCGGGAUAAGCCUGGGAAACUGGGUCUAAUACCGGAUAGGACCACUUCUUGGAUGUUGUGGUGGAAAGUUUUUUCGGUGUGGGAUGAGCUCGCGGCCUAUCAGCUUGUUGGUGGGGUAAUGGCCUACCAAGGCGUCGACGGGUAUCCGGCCUGAGAGGGUGUACGGCCACAUUGGGACUGAGAUACGGCCCAGACUCCUACGGGAGGCAGCAGUGGGGAAUAUUGCACAAUGGGCGCAAGCCUGAUGCAGCGACGCCGCGUGGGGGAUGACGGCCUUCGGGUUGGAAACUCCUUUCGCUAGGGACGAAGCGUUUUGUGACGGUACCUGGAGAAGAAGCACCGGCUAACUACGUG
rnacentral:rRNA from 1 species